rnacentral:rRNA from 1 species
AACGAACGCUGGCGGCAGGCCUAACACAUGCAAGUCGAGCGCGCCCUUCGGGGUGAGCGGCGGACGGGUGAGUAACGCGGGGGAACGUGCCCUUCUCUGCGGAAUAGCCUCGGGAAACUGAGAGUAAUACCGCAUACGCCCUUUGGGGGAAAGAUUUAUCGGAGAAGGAUCGGCCCGCGUUGGAUUAGGUAGUUGGUGGGGUAAUGGCCCACCAAGCCGACGAUCCAUAGCUGGUUUGAGAGGAUGAUCAGCCACACUGGGACUGAGACACGGCCCAGACUCCUACGGGAGGCAGCAGUGGGGAAUCUUAGACAAUGGGGGCAACCCUGAUCUAGCCAUGCCGCGUGAGUGAUGAAGGCCUUAGGGUUGUAAAGCUCUUUCAGCUGGGAAGAUAAUGACGGUACCAGCAGAAGAAGCCCCGGCUAACUCCGUG